AAAGUACUGGGAUUACAGGCAUGAGCCACUGUGCCCGGCUCGUGAAAAAAAUAUUUUCGGAAGAGGAAUACAAGCAGGCUGUGGAGCAAUCACUUGCUAGAGAAAUUUCCAAGACUAAAAGGAAGCCAAGUGUUAAUAUCCAAGACAAUGGAAAAAAAGGCCUCAAGGGCAUUUCAGAAAUCAUUAGAGCAGCCCCUCCCAUCACAGACCCAGAGCCUAGGAGGAAAGACUUGUUACCUGGGCCAGGCCCAGGGUCCUGCUGCCCUGCCCAGCUUUGAGACAGAGCUGCCCACAUCCCAGCUGCUCCAUGUCUAGCUAUGGCUCAAAGGGCACCAGAUACGGCUUGGGCUGCCAUUCUGGAGUGUGCAACCCGUAAGCCUUGGCAGCUUCCAUGUGGCGUUAAGUCUGCAUGUGCACAGACUGCGCAUGAAGAAGGCUUGACAGCUUUCCCUAGAUUUCAGAGAAUGUAUGAGAAAGGCUGGGUGCCCAAGGCAGAAGCCUGCCACAGGGGAGGAGAGAUGUGGAAUUGGAAUCCCCACACAGAGUCCCCAUCAGGACACUGCCUAGUGGAGCUGUGGAAAGGGGACUGCCAUGCUCCAGACCUCAGAACGGUAGAGCCAUGGGCAGCUUGCCUCCUGAACCUGGAAAAGCUGCAGGCACUCAACUUCAACCAAGAGCACCCCCAGGGGCUGCACCCUGCAAAGCCACAAGGCCAGAGCUCCCCAGUGGGACAGGGAGUCAAAGAAGAUUAUUUCAAAACUUUAAGAUUUAAUGACUGCCCUGCUGGAUUUAGGACUUGUAUGGGGUCUCUUGCCUCUUUCUUUUGGCAAAUUUCUCUCUUUAAAAAUGAGAAUGUUUAUUUGAUGCCUGUACUACCACCGUAUCUGGGAAGUAAGUAACUUGUCUUUCAUUUCACAGGCUCAGAGGUGGAAGAAAUUCAUCUCUGGGUGAGACUUUGGACUUGGGACUUUUGACUGAUUGAUAGUGAAACAAGGUUUCACCACGUUGGUCAGGCUGGUCUUGAACUCCCGACCUCAGGUGAUCCGCCCGCCUUGGCGUCCAAAGUGCUUGGAUUACAGGUAUGAACUACCACGUCUGGCUGCUCUCUCUCUCACCAUGUGAGACACCUGCUUCCCUUUGCCUUCUACCAUGAUCGCAAGCUUCCUGAGGCCUUCACAAGGAACAGAUGCUGGUGUCAUACUUCCUGUACAGCCUGCAGAACCAUGAGCCAAUGAAACUCUUUUCUUUAUGAAUUACCCAGUGUCAGGCAUUUCUUCAUAGCAAUGCAAAUGGAGUAACACAAGGACUCUGGUUCCCCAGGAUGCAGACCCUGAGACAAAGGUUAGAGGACACACACUUGAAUGUGUGUGUGUGGGGGGGGUGCCCACGGCAAACACCAGCAGAGGAAUGGAGAAGUGACACGGGAGGGAAGGAUGCCAAGAAUGGAGACGUCAUGGAACCAGUCACCACUGUGAGCAGUUAUAGCCCUCUGGAGAGCUCAGAGAGCCAGGCUAGAGUAUGCCUCAGAGUUGACCCACGCCAGCUGCCAGGCAGCAAGGGGUCUGUUCCGGCUCUCCCAGCUCUCCCACCACUGACUGCGAGUUUCUGAAGCCCUGGGAGCUGCCUUCAGUAGAGGAGGCUCAGCCGCUGUGGGUCGAUCUCUGAAGGCCAGGCCAGAAGGAGAGAAAAUGUGGCACGGCUUGGCAGUUCCCAGGGCCGCUCACAAGCCUUAGACUCUUCCCGGACUCCAGACCCCAGACAGCUCCGCUCCACCCUGCGGAUGACGGAGAGAAAGUUCCUUACAAGACCCUCACUUGGGGCAAGGUAGGAGGUACCAACUGGGGCGGGGCCUGGCUCCCCACUGAGCAGAGGUGUUGGCCAAGGCCCUCCCCCUAGUGGUAAGUACUCCCUUGGUUCGCCCUCCUAGCCGCUGCCAGACGACCCCGCCCCACGUCGGAAGCAACCUCGGAAACCUGCCUACCUGUUUCAUGCCCGCCCCCUACAGCCUUUCCUC